AAAAACAUGGAUGGAUAUGAAUUGUACCAGCUUUGAACCUGACACCAGAGAAAUAUAACCAUGUUUGCAACCAGCAAGCCCAUCCUCUCAGAAAUUAUUAUGUAAGUAUCCAGGCAAUAAUAAGAUGAAUAAAAAAAAUCAGGAUAAUUCACACUUACAUGGUCAGCAAUUUAACAACACAGUUAUCAAAUGCACAAUAGAAUUUGAGGCUCAGUGUUAUUAUGAGCAGCAGAGUAAGGGAUUUCAAUAUUGGUCCAGUGCCUGUCUGUCCACUAGCAUAGCAACUUCUGUGACCUUGGAGUGUCCAAAUCUUCUUGUUUGCAGUUCCUGCCACUGCUCUGGUGACUGAAAAUUUCCACAAGGCUUAACUUGGGGACAACUGCAGAGGAAGGGAAUUUUCACAUGGCUGUGUAGACCCCAGGAAGUAUUCUCUAGUCCUAGUUCCACACCAUGCAGCUCCAAACUCCUACUGACAGUGAUGGGCUGAUGAUCCCACUCUCUUCCUUCAGGCCCUCAGUCCCUCUUCUGAGUUCUCCUGGAACAAAAUCAAUUUCAACCCAGGAAUAACUCUACCUGCUCCAUGUGUUUCCCAUCCCCAGGCUGUCCCAUCAGUUGUCCUGAAGCUGAAGAGAAGUUUCCUUCACUGCAAGGUACUGACAUAGACCUAGUGGGUUCCUUAAAAUCUAGACACUGGAAGUUCUAGAAAUGCCCAUCCGGCUCCUAUAGUGUGGCUCUUAUUAUUUACCUUACAAUGCUCUUCCACAAAUAGUUAAUGUUCCAAAUCCAGUGAGCUUCUGUCUC
rnacentral:lncRNA from 1 species